rnacentral:rRNA from 1 species
CAGUAGCCGCGGUAAUACGGAGGAUCCAAGCGUUAUCCGGAUUUAUUGGGUUUAAAGGGUGCGUAGGUGGCCUGUUAAGUCAGGGGUGAAAGACGGUAGCUCAACUAUCGCAGUGCCUUUGAUACUGACGGGCUUGAAUGAACUAGAGGUAGGCGGAAUGUGACAAGUAGCGGUGAAAUGCAUAGAUAUGUCACAGAACACCAAUUGCGAAGGCAGCUUACUAUGGUUUUAUUGACACUGAGGCACGAAAGCGUGGGGAUCAAACAGGAUUAGAUACCCGCGUAGUCCCUGUCUCUUAUAC